GACGAACGCUGGCGGCGUGCUUAACACAUGCAAGUCGAACGGAAAGGUCUCUUCGGAGAUACUCGAGUGGCGAACGGGUGAGUAACACGUGGGUAAUCUGCCCUGCACAUCGGGAUAAGCCUGGGAAACUGGGUCUAAUACCGGAUAUGACCUCGGGACGCAUGUCCUGUGGUGGAAAGCUUUUGCGGUGUGGGAUGGGCCCGCGGCCUAUCAGCUUGUUGGUGGGGUGAUGGCCUACCAAGGCGACGACGGGUAGCCGGCCUGAGAGGGUGUCCGGCCACACUGGGACUGAGAUACGGCCCAGACUCCUACGGGAGGCAGCAGUGGGGAAUAUUGCACAAUGGGCGCAAGCCUGAUGCAGCGACGCCGCGUGGGGAUGAC
rnacentral:rRNA from 1 species